UUCAUUUUGCCUUCCCGAUAUUGCAUAUGCAUGUAGCUGACAUUGGUAUAUCCAUCAUUUUGUUAUAGAUUUUCACCUUACUCAAUCGAUACCAUGUUUUCAUCUCUCUAACUUCAUAUUCCCAACCUUCUUCAUCUUUGUCUCGCAACUUCUUUUCCUCAUAAUAUGUUAGAUGUUUUUAUCAUCUUCAUAUGUUCAUGUCAUUUCUUCUUCAUUUACUUCAUCUUAUUUUUUC
rnacentral:lncRNA from 1 species